rnacentral:lncRNA from 1 species
CCCCACCCCACCCCCGUAUCCGCAACAAGCAUGUUGACUCAAUCAGGGCUCUCUUCCACUGAAGGGGGUGCUGCCUCCAACCCCAUCCUCUACCCACAGCUCUAAGCAACCAACCCAGCCCUGGUCAAGAAGUGAGGGUAGGGCCUGGCCUGCAUCACCCCAUGCCUACCCCUCUGAUGUCACAAUCCUCACAGAGCUUUCCUGACUGUCCUCAGGGCUCUCUUUUUGCUCUGCUCCUGUCCAGCUCCACACCUGCUUCCCGACCCCAGGGCACCUAGGGCCCUGGCCUUAGAAUUGGAUCCAAAAACGCUUGGCCUCCAGCCUGUCUACCUCUGGGCCGUGAUCUCCCCCAAGGGUCACAUGGCACAGGCCCAGAGGGGACUCUGGAUGGUGACUUCUCACCUGUGCAUGGUCAUGAGCCCUCGGGGAAGGCCCCUCACGGAGACCUGGCCCCAGCACUCACCACAACCUGGAGUUCCGUGAUGGGUUUGCUUACAGCUUUGGUGUCUCCCUCCCCUGGGGAGUCAAUUCCCAAAAGGCAGCCGCCUGGUCCACCCUCUUCCCUUCUGUGUGCCCAGCAUGCAGGGCAGGGCCUGAAACAGGAGAGGCACCCAGCCGCUAGCAGUGGGAGGGAGUAGAUGCUCUCCUCAGCCCCCACCCGGGCCCCCCCGAGGCCCAGACGCACCCGGGGCAGCCUCAGCAUGGCUCUGCCUGCGGGAUGUCACCCUCUGAGCUUCCUUCACCUGCAGUGACCCUGGCUCUCCCGCUACCCCAUCCUCUCCGCACCAGCCCUGCUGGGCUCUCCCCCUGAAAUCAGACAGGAUGAGUUCACGAUCUGUAAAGUCCGCUGUCUUUUCCCCCAACCAGGCGGGGAAAGCGAGAAUGCCCGUCUCCAGGGUUCUCACGGGAAUUCACUCAGGAGCCAACACACACCAGAUGUGCAGACUCCUUACCGGUGUUUAUCGCCAAGUGACUAAUACACCGUUAAUACGAGGGGCAAGACCCUCUCGGGUCUCUGAAGCCUUGCUCUUCCCCAGCCCCUGCAGUGAAAGUGGCAGGGUCACACGGCACACGUCUGUCCCCCGUGGGGGGACCGAGAGGCCACCCCCACCCCUACUCCACGCCAGUGCCACGCUCCGCCCAUCCAUCCUCAUCCAACAACGUCGCCUCGCACCCAUCCUGUGCCAGAUGCCGUGCAAAGGAUGACAGGAUGGGAGGCCCGACCUCUACCGUCCAGGAGCCCAUGUAGUGAAGGAGCUCACGUUCCUUGCACGGGGGUCUGAUGAUGGCCCGUGAUGAUCUGGUGGGCGCCUGCAAUACACUAAGUACCGUGAACUUCAAAUGUCUCAAACCCUUGCAGUGAUGCUACCGAGUGUCAUCAUGUCCCUUCCUACAGAGGAGGAAACGGAGGCUCAGGAAGUCCAGGCUCAGGCGACCUGCCCGAGCCAUAGCUCCUAAGCGUCAACACCUGGCUGUGGGUCCCCAGAACCCACGCUCUUCCUGGGGGCACCACACUGCCCUUGAGGCCGACCCCAUGGCCCGCCCCGCUCCACCCUUCUGCGACUCUCACCCUCAGUGAGAGCCGGUCUCUGUGGCCUGGACCGUGGGCCUUGCCUGUCGCUGUGCUCAGACCAGGCCUGCCUGUCCCAGGCUGCCACCCCGGGCUUGUGCUGUUUCCUCAGCCUGGGAUGUUCUCCUGUGCAACCUGACCUCUCCGUUCCUCAAGAUCCGGGUUGGGAGCACCAACCUGGAAGGUCUCAGCUAGCGAGACGCUCCGUGUCCCUGAAGACACUGUCGGGUCCUCUGCGCUGGCACAGGUCCAUCUCCCGCAGCGGACUUGGGGGUCCCGGGGAACAGGACCCUCCACGGCAUCAUCCCACGGAAGGUCCGUCCUCAGGAGCCGCGCAGCUGGACCAAGUAGGAUUGGAUUGCUGAAAAUAGGAAAGUGGGCUCAAUCGGGGGUCAGAAAAGGGUUGUAGGGACACCUGGGUGGCUCAGCGGUUUAGUGCUGCCUUCAGCCCAGGGCGUGACCUGGGGUCCCGGGAUCAAGUCCCACGUUGGGCUCCCUGCAUGGGGCCUGCUUCUCCCUCUGCCUGUGUCUCUGCCUCUCUCUCUCUCUCUCUCUCUGUCUCUCAUGAAUAAAUAAAAACAAAAAUAUUUUUAAAAAAGAAAA